rnacentral:antisense_RNA from 1 species
GGCACAUAGGAACCUCCGUUAAAGGACUCUAUGGGCAGUCGAUACAGGGAGCUAGCACUCCUUGUAUCGGCGAUCUA